CUAGGAGGUGCUGGGCAGGUGCCGUGCUGGCCUGGGGGAAUGUCACUCAGGCCACAAGGUUCUUAGGGUUCCAGAUCCUGGAUGAACGGACUCCCUGUCCCUGUGGAGCUCAUGGCUGUGACUCGGUGGGCAUGGAGCCUUCUCUUCCUUAUGCCUUGGCCUCCAGAUACUUACCCCACGUCUUGCCUUUCAUUCUUUCUCUAGUCCUUUUGGCAAAUGGGAAAGUGGGGAAUUCCUGCUUUUCUCACAAACCUCCAGCUCCUGGCCUCUGGGUGGAUGUGUGCUGAGGUAGCCCUGUUUAUGCCCCUUACUGCUCCUCAGUAUCUGGGCUUCAAUACUGCCCCUCACCAAAAGGGUGAUGGGACCCCCCAUUGAAAUUACCAUCAAAAUGGGGUGGGAAUCUCAGCCAAUGGAUCCCCAGAGACUGGCUCCAUCCACCCCAGACCGAGGGCUCCUUCCUCAGGUCCAGGUACCCAGAACGCAGGGGUCCCUGCGUCGUCUACCUGACGAUGGGACCCAUAGUACCUUCGGGAGGCUGGGAGCUGGCCCAGGUGCUCCUUUACCUCCACAGAGGCCAUGAGCCCCACAGCCUCCAUUGUCUCCCAAGGACAUGGGUGUACCCACAGCCAUUGCUCCUGCCUUGGAGAAGAGCCAUCUGUGAGCCAGCCAGCCAGACGCCUGCAGGCCAGCAUCUCACGGAGAGCAGGACACCAAGAUAAAUGGUGCACCUGCUAAGUGAACCUGAUGAACGUCGGUGGCCAAAACCAUCAGGAGGAGGAAGAGCCAGACCUAGGACCACACACCAGAGAGGGCAACAUGAGAAAGAGCUCCCGACCCCAUCAGCGAGGAGCCGGCCCGGCCAGGGGGACCUCACGCCGGUUCUGAUGUGCACAGUCAACCUCUAGGAGCUCUUGACACUGCUGAGGGGCCACCCAGGGAGGGAGAGCUGGUGGGGGGACCCACAGCCCCCAUCCCCACCUUCUUCAAUGCUGUGGCUGCUCCUGCUCCUGCAGGGGCCCAGGCAGCCUCACACUCCUCAUUUUAUAGAGGAAGAAUGGAGGCUCCAACAACACAAGCCUGCUGUAGUUCCUGCAGGCUUCGUGGGCUCCGCACGUGUGUCUAGGGGCUGAUCCUCCCAGAGUCACAAUAACUCCAUCCCUGUCACCUACAAGACUGGCACGUGGUGUUUAUUUCAUUCUCCUUGUUGAACUGAUAUGGUGGCUGCAGCCACUCACCUCCUCAAUAUCUGCAAUGCUCCAGGUUUAAAUUUCUAAGGUUUCAUCUUGCUCCUGACUCUGAGUCCUAAAAGUCCUCCAAAUGCAUGAAUAUUUUAUUUUGUCCAAAAGUCUCAGGGUUCUGUAGGCAGAUCUGACACUGCAGUGCCUCUGGAGAGAAAGAGUUGGUGUCCUCGAGUCUCUCCUGAAGAGAGCCCGGCCUGAUUCUUACUCUGUAGGACCAGACUCCUCAAACUCUGAAAUGCCUGAACAAAUCAAGGAGAGGCUGCAGAAGCACUCUUUUCAGAUAUGGGGGUUUCACUCUCAUCCUGCAGAAACUGGCCAGGGGCCCAGCAACAUGGGACCAUCACACCCGAAGGAGCAGAGGGCACCAGCAUCGCUCAUCAGGAAUCAGGGCUGUUAGGAAGAAAUUGCAGCAAAUCACCUGCAGACACUGGUCCUGACGCUUUCUCUGGAGGGAGGGUGACUGCCUUGGAAGGCUCGCAUCAAAUGGGGCAGAACUCUUGCUUUCUCUCUUGUCCUGAAGGUGCUGUCUUUUAUGUACCGGUGAAGUAUGCCGCCAGGCAUUGUGAGUACUCUCUGAGCGUCAAUGAGCUGCUAUUAGGAUACUUUCUUCAAGGUCGUUCUGGGUACAAGAUUGUCAUGACCUGCAGUACCAACUGCUUUGAAACCGUCACGGCCUCCCAACAGCAAGUUUCCUGGAACAGGAGCCCUCAUUUCUGAUGGCCUUGCAUCCACAUACGUUAGGGUCUGAUUGAAGAGGUUCUUGGAUUAAUUCUGCCACUGAGAGAGGAAUU
rnacentral:lncRNA from 1 species